AUGGAGGUCGAGAUCAAGCUCCGUCUCCCCGACGCGGCUGCACACCGGCGCCUCUCCUCCUUCCUCGCGCCCCGCCUGCUCCGCACCGACGCCCCAGCGCGGCCCCUCGCCGCCGCCACCGCCGCCCAGCGGGACGUCCGCCUCUACGGCACCGACGACCGCGACCCCUCCCGCGCCGUCCUCAUGCUCAAGCGCCGCCCGCGCAUCGACGCCGGCGUCAGCCGCGUUGAGGAGGUCGUGGAGCCCCUCGACCCCGCCCUCGCCCUCACCUGCGUCGACAACCCCGCCCGUCUCGACGCGGUCGACUCCCCCAUCGUCCGGCUCGUCUUCGACGAGUACGGCGUCGGCGGGGACAAAGCGCCGUUCGUCUGCCUCGGCGGCUUCCGGAACACCCGCGGUGUGUAUGAGCUCGAG
rnacentral:rRNA from 1 species